rnacentral:rRNA from 1 species
UUCGCCCUUAGAGUUUGAUCCUGGCUCAGGAUGAACGCUGGCGGCGUGCUUAACACAUGCAAGUCGAACGGGAAUUACUUUAUUGAAACUUCGGUCGAUUUAAUUUAAUUCUAGUGGCGGACGGGUGAGUAACGCGUGAGGAACCUGCCUCAAAGAGGGGGACAACAGUUGGAAACGACUGCUAAUACCGCAUAAGCCCACGACCCGGCAUCGGGUAGAGGGAAAAGGAGCAAUCCGCUUUGAGAUGGCCUCGCGUCCGAUUAGCUAGUUGGUGAGGUAAUGGCCCACCAAGGCGACGAUCGGUAGCCGGACUGAGAGGUUGAACGGCCACAUUGGGACUGAGACACGGCCCAGACUCCUACGGGAGGCAGCAGUGGGGAAUAUUGCACAAUGGGGGAAACUCUGAUGCAGCGACGCCGCGUGAAGGAAGAAGUAUCUCGGUAUGUAAACUUCUAUCAGCAGGGAAGAUAGUGACGGUACCUGACUAAGAAGCCCCGGCUAACUACGUGCCAGCAGCCGCGGUAAUACGUAGGGGGCAAGCGUUAUCCGGAUUUACUGGGUGUAAAGGGAGCGUAGACGGUGUGGCAAGUCUGAUGUGAAAGGCAUGGGCUCAACCUGUGGACUGCAUUGGAAACUGUCAUACUUGAGUGCCGGAGGGGUAAGCGGAAUUCCUAGUGUAGCGGUGAAAUGCGUAGAUAUUAGGAGGAACACCAGUGGCGAAGGCGGCUUACUGGACGGUAACUGACGCUGAGGCUCGAAAGUGUGGGUAGCAAACAGGAUUAGAUACCCUGGUAGUCCACACUGUAAACGAUGAUUACUAGGUGUUGGAGGAUUGACCCCUUCAGUGCCGCAGUUAACACAAUAAGUAAUCCACCUGGGGAGUACGACCGCAAGGUUGAAACUCAAAGGAAUUGACGGGGGCCCGCACAAGCAGUGGAGUAUGUGGUUUAAUUCGACGCAACGCGAAGAACCUUACCAAGUCUUGACAUCCUGCGACGAUGCUGGAAACAGUAUUUUCCUUCGGGACGCAGAGACAGGUGGUGCAUGGUUGUCGUCAGCUCGUGUCGUGAGAUGUUGGGUUAAGUCCCGCAACGAGCGCAACCCUUAUGGUCAGUUACUACGCAAGAGGACUCUGGCCAGACUGCCGUUGACAAAACGGAGGAAGGUGGGGAUGACGUCAAAUCAUCAUGCCCUUUAUGACUUGGGCUACACACGUACUACAAUGGCGUUAAACAAAGAGAAGCAAGACCGCGAGGUGGAGCAAAACUCAGAAACAACGUCCCAGUUCGGACUGCAGGCUGCAACUCGCCUGCACGAAGUCGGAAUUGCUAGUAAUCGCAGAUCAGCAUGCUGCGGUGAAUACGUUCCCGGGCCUUGCACUCACCGCCCGUCA